rnacentral:rRNA from 1 species
UACAGAGACCUCAAGCGUUAUCCGGAAUCAUUGGGCGUAAAGCGUUCCGAUAGGUUGUUUUGAAAGUCUUGGGUAAAAGCCAGAAGCUUAACUUCUGCGUUUGCUUAAGAUACUGCAAAACUAGAGGGGCAAAGAGGAGCUUGGAACGAAUGGUGUAGUAGUGAAAUGCGUUGAUAUCUGGAGGAACACCGGUGGCGAAGGCGGCAUCCUGGACCAACACUGACACUGAGGAGCGAAAGCCAGGGGAGCAAACGGG